AUAUAUCAAAGCAUUUGUGAUCAGUUUAUGUAUCAUCUAUUUUGGGGGGUUUAUAUCAUGGCACAAAUUUCGCCCGUCGCUGCUACACGGUAAAGCCACAAAUUUGGCCCGUCGCUGCUACACGGUAAAGCCACAAAUUUGGCCCGUUGCUGCUACACGGUAAAGCCACAAAUUUGGCCCGUCGCUGGUACACGGUAAAGCCACAAAUUUGGCAUUCGCUGCUACACGGUAAAGCCACAAAUUUGGCCCGUCGCUGCUGCUGGGUUAAAUUGACCUCUCUUUUGGACACUCCUCUGAGCGCUUUUUGUGGGAGCAGCAAAUAGCAGGCUUUUUUUUCAUUAGUGUUUCUUUUUUUUUGCCCUUGAGCUGCUUCCUCUGCUGUAAAAAAAGAGAAAGUAUAUAAUCCCUGUGAUCACUGCUCCUCAUCCUCACAUGGAAAUACCAGCAACAAGAACAAUGCAACUCACACCAAUCCUUAAUUUAUUCCCUUCCUCACCCUUCCCCGCAGCCAUCGUGCUGCCUCGGCCAGGAAGCACUCGCUGGAGACUCACAAGCUGCUGGGUGAAUCGGAGGGCUUCGGGAACAGCCUUGAGGAAACUGCCGAGAAUCUGAAGCAGCUCUUGUCCAAGUGAUGAUGCUCCCAGCCAGGACUGGGAUGAGGACGUCCCUGUCCACACCCUGCAGCGCAACAAGCACACCACAUGUUGAACACUGUCACAGGUCAAGAUCUUCUCCCCGGACCUGCUGUACCGGUUGAUGUACUUGGCGGCAGUGAGUGACAUCCCCCUGUCCGUGGCCACUGAUAUGCUGGAAGAGUGUGGCCUGGACUACCUCCCCAACACAGCCUGCUCGCAGCAGCAGUAGCGUUGAGGCGGGAUGCAGCGUGCUCUGAGGCGACCCCGGGCAGGAGGCAACAUGUGACCUCGAGCACCAGACCUUUGACCUCUAUUCAGGAGCAAUCGUGUAACUGAUGGAGGCUGGCACAGGAAGUUGCUGAUAUGUAGGCUAUGGCUGACUGGCUGGUGCUGUCUGGUCACUCAGCUCAGCAAGGGACUGGAAGCUGGAACUCUCUCUCUCUCUCUCUCUCUCUCUCUCUCUCUCUCUCUCUCUCUCUCACAAAAAAAAGUAAUGUAAAAGUGUAUAAGGUCCAUUGAAAAGAAGAGAGAGAGCCAUCUCAUCCUCUCUCUCUCUCCCCCCUCAACAUCCAGGCGGCAUCUUGGGAGGGGAGGGGAGGGGAAGAGAAGAGAAGAGAAGGGAAGGGAAGGGAAGAAUACAAUAGCUCACUGGUGGACAGAGGAAAGAAACAAGGAAGAAGAAGAAGAAGAAGAGACUCGUCUCAUCUCGUCUCCCCCAGCAUCUUGAAGGCCUGACUGGUUCCCUCGGCUCAGUGGUCUCGUCUCUGUCUCCCUCCCUGCAAGAGUCUGGCAGAGUUUAGUGCCAAGAAUGUGUGUGUGUGUGUGUGUGUGUGUGUGUGUGUGUGUGUGUGUGUGUGUGUGUGUGUGUGUGUGUGUGUGUGUCUCUCUCUCUCUCUCUCUCUCUCUCUCUCUCUCUCUCUCUCUCUCUCUCUCUCUCUCUCUCUCUCUCUCUCUCAGGCCCCACAGGGUGUCCCCCCCACAGUGUGUUGACAACCCCCACAGACACAUGCCCCACCAGACACAUAAGGAACCCCCCCCCCCCCCUCUCUCUCUCUCUCUGCAAGAAGUGUCAGUUUGCUCAAUAAAUAUACAAGCAAUUUCUGGUGUUUUUUUCGUCCAUUCUGCAAAGUUUACAAAGACACAGACCUUGAUAAAAGUGGAGAUAACAAGGAAACGAAGAGGAUGAGGAAGAGGAAAGAUCAAACUAUUUUUUGGCAUAGGAGGAAAGGAGGAAAGAAAAGGGAGAGAAAUGGAGUUGAACUUGGAGGAGGAAAUGAACAAAACCACUAAAGUUACACUGGAGAAAUACACAGACCUUAAUAAAAGUGGAGAUAGAGGAAUGAAAAGGAGGAGGAGGAAAAGGAAAGAGUAAGCUAUUUUUUGGUGUAGGAGAAAAGGUGGAAGAGGUUGUGGAAAGUGGAGGAAAAUGGACUUGAACUUGGAGGAGGAAAUGAAUGAAACCACCAAAAUUACAUUGGAGAAAUACACAGACCUUGAAAGUGGAGAUAGGAGAGGAAUGAAGAGGAGGAGGAAGAAGCGGAAGACAGGAGGAGGAAGAGGAAGGAUUAAGCAAUUUUUGGGCAUAGGAGGAAAGGAGGAAGAGGUAGAGGAAACAGAGAAAAAUGGAGGAAAGUGUGGAGAGAAAUGACCUGUUCUUGAGGCAGCCCCUGACCUGACGUAGCCUGGGACCUGAGCAUACACAGGGGGUGCGUUGCUUCACUCACCCACCACCUUCAUGCAUUUUCCCCUAACCCAUGAGGUGCGUGGGUGUCCCCCUGGUGGUCACCUGGGCUCACUGGAGGGCUGAGUCUGGUCUCAUCUCGGCUCCU